AAAUUGAAGAGUUUGAUCAUGGCUCAGAUUGAACGCUGGCGGCAGGCCUAACACAUGCAAGUCGAACGGUAACAGAAAGCAGCUUGCUGCUUUGCUGACGAGUGGCGGACGGGUGAGUAAUGUCUGGGAAACUGCCCGAUGGAGGGGGAUAACUACUGGAAACGGUAGCUAAUACCGCAUAACGUCGCAAGACCAAAGAGGGGGACCUUCGGGCCUCUUGCCAUCGGAUGUGCCCAGAUGGGAUUAGCUAGUAGGUGGGGUAAAGGCUCACCUAGGCGACGAUCCCU
rnacentral:rRNA from 1 species